ensembl:piRNA 21ur-5500 ncRNA
UCUGUCAAGCAUUUGUUUGAA